CUCCUACGGGGGGCAGCAGUGGGGAAUAUUGCACAAUGGGGGAAACCCUGAUGCAGCGACGCCGCGUGAGCGAUGAAGGCCUUCGGGUCGUAAAGCUCUGUCCUAAGGGAAGAUAAUGACGGUACCUUAGGAGGAAGCCCCGGCUAACUACGUGCCAGCAGCCGCGGUAAUACGUAGGGGGCGAGCGUUGUCCGGAAUUACUGGGCGUAAAGGGUGCGUAGGCGGCCAUGUAAGUCAGAUGUGAAAGCCCUCGGCUUAACCGAGGUAAGCAUUUGAAACUGCAUAACUUGAGUGCAGGAGAGGAGAGUGGAAUUCCUAGUGUAGCGGUGAAAUGCGUAGAUAUUAGGAAGAAUACCAGUGGCGAAGGCGACUCUCUGGACUGUAACUGACGCUGAGGCACGAAAGCGUGGGGAGCGAACAGGAUUAGAUACCCUGG
rnacentral:rRNA from 1 species